UCCUGACACAGGGAGGUAGUGACAAGAAAUAACAAUACAGAGCUCUCUGAGUCUUGUAAUUGGAAUGAGUACAAUUUACAUCUCUUCACGAGGAUCAAUUGGAGGGCAAGUCUGGUGCCAGCAGCCGCGGUAAUUCCAGCUCCAAUAGCGUAUAUUAAAGUUGUUGCAGUUAAAACGCUCGUAGUCGGAUUUCGGGGCGGGGCCGCCGGUCUGCCGAUAGGUAUGCACUGGCGGGCGCGUCCUUUUUCCCGGAGACGGCUGCUACUCUUAACUGAGCGGUGGUCGGAGACGGGAUGUUUACUUUGAAAAAAUCAGAGUGUUUCAAGCAGGCAGUCGCUCUUGCAUGGAUUAGCAUGGGAUAAUGAAAUAGGACUCUGGUGCUAUUUUGUUGGUUUCGAGCACCGGAGUAAUGAUUAACAGGGACA
rnacentral:rRNA from 1 species